rnacentral:piRNA from 1 species
GGCCAAACAAGAAAUGGACUUUUCUAAC